rnacentral:rRNA from 1 species
UACGUAGGGUGCGAGCGUUGUCCGGAAUUAUUGGGCGUAAAGAGCUCGUAGGCGGUGUGUCACGUCGGCCGUGAAAACCUGCAGCUUAACUGUGGGCGUGCGGUCGAUACGGGCAUCACUGGAGUUCGGCAGGGGAGACUGGAAUUCCUGGUGUAGCGGUGAAAUGCGCAGAUAUCGAGAGGAACACCUGCGGCGAAGGCGGGUUGCUGGGCUGACACUGACGCUGAAGUGCGAAAGCUAGGGGAGCGAACGGG